UCAAGCUAUAAAGAGCGUAGGGAGAAUGACUUGGCAUCAGGAGCCGAAGAAGGACGUGACAAGCUGCGAAAAGCUGCGGUUAGGAGCAAAUAUCCAUAGACCCGCAGAUAUCCGAAUGGGGAAACCCGGUACGGCAAUACCGUAUCACUGCAUGGUAAAUACAUAGCCAUGUGGAGGAAACCCUCUGAACUGAAACAUCUAAGUAGGAGGAGGAAGAGAAAGAAACAUCGAUUUCCUAAGUAGCGGCGAGCGAAAGGGAAAGAGGCCAAACCAGAGAUAGCAAUAUCUUUGGGGUUGCGGACUGCAAAAUUGAUUCAAUAUUUUUAGCAGAAGUGUAUGGGAAGACACACCAUAGUAGGUAAUAGUCCUGUAAGCGAAAAGGAUAUUGACAAGGCAGGAUCCAGAGUACCACCGGACACGAGGAACCCGGUGGGAAGCCGGGGGGACCACCCCCCAAGCCUAAAUACUACCUGAUGACCGAUAGUGAAAAGUACAGUGAUGGAAAGUUGAAAAGAACCCCGGAAGGGGAGUGAAAAAGAAUCUGAAACCCUAUGUUUACAAGCUGCUAAAGCACCGUAUGAGUGCGAUAGCGUACUUUUUGUAGAACGGUCCGGCGAGUGUAUGUUGCAAGCGAGGUUAAGGUGUUAAGCACUGAAGCCGAAGGGAGACCGAGUGUGAAUAGCGCGUACAGUUUGCAGUAUACGACCCGAAACCGGGUGACCUAACCAUGGACAGGUUGAAGUGGAAGUAAAAUUCCAUGGAGGACCGAACCCACGUCUGUUGAAAAAGGCGGGGAUGAGCUGUGGUUAGCGGUGAAAUUCCAAUCGAACUCGGAUAUAGCUGGUUCUCAUCGAAAUAGCUUUAGGGCUAGCCUCAGGAUAGUUUAGCGGAGGUAAAGCACUGAAUGGGCUAGGGGGCUUCACGGCUUACCGAACCCUAUCAAACUCUGAAUGCCGCAUAAAUGUUUCCUGGGAGUCAGACUGCGUGAGAUAAGUUUCGUAGUCAAAAGGGAAAGAGCCCAGACCUACAGCUAAGGUCCCUAAAUGAAUUUAAGUGGAAAAGGAUGUGCAGUUGCGUAGACAACUAGGACGUUGGCUUAGAAGCAGCCACUCAUUUAAAGAGUGCGUAAUAGCUCACUAGUCGAGUGAUUGUGCGCCGAAAAUGUAACGGGGCUAAAAUUCAUACCGAAGCUUAGGAAUGAUAGUAAUAUUGUUGGUAGAUGAGCGUUGUGUAAGCCUGAGAAGCUACACCGAAAGGAGUAGUGGAGGUAUCACAAGUGAGAAUGCCGGAAUGAGUAGCGAGAAUUAUGUGAGAAUCAUAAUGGUCGAAAAUCUAAGGUUUCUUGAGGAAGGUUCGUCCGCUCAAGGUAAGCCGGGAGCUAAGGCGAGGCCGAGAGGCGUAGUCGAUGCACAUACGGUAAAGAUUCCGUAGCCACCGAAGUCGUUAAAUACAGGGACACAGGAACAUAGCCUAACCCCACCGUUGGUUGAGUGGGGCGUAAGGGAGCGAAAAUUAGUAGCGAAGUGGGUGAUUGUACACUGGCGAGAAAAGCUGUAUGAAUUGACCAGGUGCCCGUACCGCAAACCGACACAGGUAGAUGAGGAGAGAAUCCUAAGACCAGCGGGAGAAGUGUUGUUAAGGAACUCGGCAAAAUGACCCCGUAACUUCGGGAUAAGGGGAGCCUACGAGAGUAGGCCGCAGAGAAUAGUCUCAAGCGACUGUUUAGCAAAAACACAGGUCUAUGCUAAAUCGAAAGAUGAUGUAUAUGGGCUGACGCCUGCCCGGUGCUGGAAGGUUAAGGGGAAGUGUUAGAGCAAUCGAAGCACUGAACUUAAGCCCCAGUAAACGGCGGCCGUAACUAUAACGGUCCUAAGGUAGCGAAAUUCCUUGUCAGGUAAGUUCUGACCCGC
rnacentral:rRNA from 1 species